AAUGCUGCUGUCAUGAUUCAGCCAACACUAACAGCAUUUUCAUUCAAUUCACUGCCUUUCCCUGCUUUGUUGGAUGUGGCAUCCAUUGCAGCUGAUCGCAUUCUCUUGUUGGAUGCUUAUUUUAGUGUAGUUAUUUUCCAUGGAAUGACAAUAGCUCAAUGGAGAAACAUGGGAUACCAGGAACAGCCUGAGCACCAGGCAUUUGCACAACUCUUGCAAGUUCCCCAUGAUGAGGCCCAAGCAAUCAUCCGUGAGAGAUUUCCUGUUCCAAGACUGGUAGUGUGUGAUCAGCAUGGUUCCCAGGCAAGGUUCCUUUUGGCAAAGUUGAAUCCAUCUGCCACGUACAAUAAUGCAAAUGAAAUGGCAGCUGGAUCAGACGUGAUCUUUACAGAUGAU
rnacentral:misc_RNA from 1 species